rnacentral:rRNA from 1 species
UACCAGCACCCCGAGUGGUCGGGACGUUUAUUGGGCCUAAAGCAUCCGUAGCCGGUUCUACAAGUCUUCCGUUAAAUCCACCUGCUUAACAGAUGGGCUGCGGAAGAUACUAUAGAGCUAGGAGGCGGGAGAGGCAAGCGGUACUCGAUGGGUAGGGGUAAAAUCCGUUGAUCCAUUGAAGAACACCAGUGGCGAAGGCGGCUCACUGGCCCGGUACUGACGCUGAGAAUACGAAAGCGUGGGGAGCAAACAGG